GACGAACCGUCCAAACGUUAUUCGGAAUUACUGGGCGUAAAGGGCGCGUAGGCGGCCUGCUAAGUCGAACGUGAAAUCCCCGAGCUCAACUCGGGAACUGCGUCCGAUACUGACAGGCUUGAAUCCGGGAGAGGGAUGCGGAAUUCCAGGUGUAGCGGUGAAAUGCGUAGAUAUCUGGAGGAACACCGGUGGCGAAGGCGGCAUCCUGGACCGGCAUUGACGCUGAGGCGCGAAAGCUAGGGGAGCGAACGGG
rnacentral:rRNA from 1 species